rnacentral:lncRNA from 1 species
AUGAAAGGAUUUUUUCAGGGACAAUUGAAGAACCUUCCGAAAUUUUUGAUAAGGUACAAUACGUGCCUUGGAAGUGGUUAUUGGCUAAAAAGGUUAACUCACUGUUCUCAUUUUAUGAAUGAUGUGUUAAUCCGUCUAACUGUAUAGCUAGGUGGUUUUGGGGGUUUUGCUAGCACUUGUUAGUACGAUUGAAUUUUGAAUUGGUUUGGUGUUUGUUUGGGUUGAGUACUACAUGUCUUAUUGAUGUUGGUCG